CUUUUACAAUGAAGAGUUUGAUCCUGGCUCAGGAUGAACGCUAGCUACAGGCUUAACACAUGCAAGUCGAGGGGCAGCAUUUUAGUUUGCUUGCAAACUAAAGAUGGCGACCGGCGCACGGGUGAGUAACACGUAUCCAACCUGCCGAUAACUCGGGGAUAGCCUUUCGAAAGAAAGAUUAAUAUCCGAUGGUAUAUUAAAACCGCAUGGUUUUACUAUUAAAGAAUUUCGGUUAUCGAUGGGGAUGCGUUCCAUUAGUUUGUUGGCGGGGUAACGGCCCACCAAGACUACGAUGGAUAGGGGUUCUGAGAGGAAGGUCCCCCAC
rnacentral:rRNA from 1 species